rnacentral:rRNA from 1 species
ACGUGCUAAUCUGCGAUAAGCGCCGGUAAGGUGAUAUGAACCGUUAUAACCGGCGAUUUCCGAAUGGGGAAACCCAGUGUGACUCGUCACACUAUCAUUAACUGAAUCCAUAGGUUAAUGAGGCGAACCGGGGGAACUGAAACAUCUAAGUACCCCGAGGAAAAGAAAUCAACCGAGAUUCCCCCAGUAGCGGCGAGCGAACGGGGAGGAGCCCAGAGCCUGAAUCAGCAUGUGUGUUAGUGGAAGCGUCUGGAAAGGCGCGCGAUACAGGGUGACAGCCCCGUACACAAAAGCGCAUGUGCUGUGAGCUCGAUGAGUAGGGCGGGACACGUGGUAUCCUGUCUGAAUAUGGGGGGACCAUCCUCCAAGGCUAAAUACUCCUGACUGACCGAUAGUGAACCAGUACCGUGAGGGAAAGGCGAAAAGAACCCCGGCGAGGGGAGUGAAAAAGAACCUGAAACCGUGUACGUACAAGCAGUGGGAGCCCCACCACUAAGCCAGUGGUGAACUCCACAUACGCAUCCUUUGCUGAGGAUACGGUUAACGGAGCGAAAGCGACGUUCAACCUCAAAAGAAGCAGAGGGGGCUUAGUGGUGGGGUGACUGCGUACCUUUUGUAUAAUGGGUCAGCGACUUAUAUUCUGUAGCAAGGUUAACCGAAUAGGGGAGCCGGAGGGAAACCGAGUCUUAACCGGGCGUUAAGUUGCAGGGUAUAGACCCGAAACCCGGUGAUCUAGCCAUGGGCAGGUUGAAGGUUGGGUAACACUAACUGGAGGACCGAACCGACUAAUGUUGAAAAAUUAGCGGAUGACCUGUGGCUGGGGGUGAAAGGCCAAUCAAACCGGGAGAUAGCUGGUUCUCCCCGAAAGCUAUUUAGGUAGCGCCUCGUGAAUUCAUCUCCGGGGGUAGAGCACUGUUUCGGCUAGGGGGCCAUCCCGGCUUACCAACCCGAUGCAAACUGCGAAUACCGGAGAAUGUUAUCACGGGAGACACACGGCGGGUGCUAACGUCCGUCGUGAAGAGGGAAACAACCCAGACCGCCAGCUAAGGUCCCAAAGUCAUGGUUAAGUGGGAAACGAUGUGGGAAGGCCCAGACAGCCAGGAUGUUGGCUUAGAAGCAGCCAUCAUUUAAAGAAAGCGUAAUAGCUCACUGGUCGAGUCGGCCUGCGCGGAAGAUGUAACGGGGCUAAACCAUGCACCGAAGCUGCGGCAGCGACACUCAGGUGUUGUUGGGUAGGGGAGCGUUCUGUAAGCCUGUGAAGGUGGCCUGUGAGGGUUGCUGGAGGUAUCAGAAGUGCGAAUGCUGACAUAAGUAACGAUAAAGCGGGUGAAAAGCCCGCUCGCCGGAAGACCAAGGGUUCCUGUCCAACGUUAAUCGGGGCAGGGUGAGUCGACCCCUAAGGCGAGGCCGAAAGGCGUAGUCGAUGGGAAACGGGUUAAUAUUCCCGUACUUGGUGUUACUGCGAAGGGGGGACGGAGAAGGCUAUGUUGGCCGGGCGACGGUUGUCCCGGUUUAAGCGUGUANNCACUUUAACACUGAGGCGUGAUGACGAGGCACUACGGUGCUGAAGCAACAAAUGCCCUGCUUCCAGGAAAAGCCUCUAAGCAUCAGGUAACAUCAAAUCGUACCCCAAACCGACACAGGUGGUCAGGUAGAGAAUACCAAGGCGCUUGAGAGAACUCGGGUGAAGGAACUAGGCAAAAUGGUGCCGUAACUUCGGGAGAAGGCACGCUGACACGUAGGUGAAGUGAUUUACUCAUGGAGCUGAAGUCAGUCGAAGAUACCAGCUGGCUGCAACUGUUUAUUAAAAACACAGCACUGUGCAAACACGAAAGUGGACGUAUACGGUGUGACGCCUGCCCGGUGCCGGAAGGUUAAUUGAUGGGGUCAGCGCAAGCGAAGCUCCUGAUCGAAGCCCCGGUAAACGGCGGCCGUAACUAUAACGGUCCUAAGGUAGCGAAAUUCCUUGUCGGGUAAGUUCCGACCUGCACGAAUGGCGUAAUGAUGGCCAGGCUGUCUCCACCCGAGACUCAGUGAAAUUGAACUCGCUGUGAAGAUGCAGUGUACCCGCGGCAAGACGGAAAGACCCCGUGAACCUUUACUAUAGCUUGACACUGAACAUUGAGCCUUGAUGUGUAGGAUAGGUGGGAGGCUUUGAAGUGUGGACGCCAGUCUGCAUGGAGCCGACCUUGAAAUACCACCCUUUAAUGUUUGAUGUUCUAACGUGGACCCGUGAUCCGGGUUGCGGACAGUGUCUGGUGGGUAGUUUGACUGGGGCGGUCUCCUCCUAAAGAGUAACGGAGGAGCACGAAGGUUGGCUAAUCCUGGUCGGACAUCAGGAGGUUAGUGCAAUGGCAUAAGCCAGCUUGACUGCGAGCGUGACGGCGCGAGCAGGUGCGAAAGCAGGUCAUAGUGAUCCGGUGGUUCUGAAUGGAAGGGCCAUCGCUCAACGGAUAAAAGGUACUCCGGGGAUAACAGGCUGAUACCGCCCAAGAGUUCAUAUCGACGGCGGUGUUUGGCACCUCGAUGUCGGCUCAUCACAUCCUGGGGCUGAAGUAGGUCCCAAGGGUAUGGCUGUUCGCCAUUUAAAGUGGUACGCGAGCUGGGUUUAGAACGUCGUGAGACAGUUCGGUCCCUAUCUGCCGUGGGCGCUGGAGAACUGAGGGGGGCUGCUCCUAGUACGAGAGGACCGGAGUGGACGCAUCACUGGUGUUCGGGUUGUCAUGCCAAUGGCACUGCCCGGUAGCUAAAUGCGGAAGAGAUAAGUGCUGAAAGCAUCUAAGCACGAAACUUGCCCCGAGAUGAGUUCUCCCUGAGACUUAAAGUCUCCUGAAGGAACGUUGAAGACGACGACGUUGAUAGGCCGGGUGUGUAAGCGCAGCGAUGCGUUGAGCUAACCGGUACUAAUGAACCGUGAGGCUUAACCUUACAACGCCGAAG